CACCGCGGUUAGACGAGUGGCUUAAAUUGAUAAUUAUCGGCGUAAAGCGUGGUUAAGAAAAACCUAAACUAAAGUCAAACAACUUCAAAGCUGUUAUACGCACUCGAAGCAAGAAGAACUAUUACGAAAGUGGCUUUAACACAUCUGACUCCACGAAAGCUGUGAAA
rnacentral:rRNA from 1 species